ACACCAACUCUUCCUUGUGUAAAUUAGUUAUGGAACGUCCUAUAACUAACCCUUACCGAUCGAACUACCUACGAAACGUUCGUGAUUUAGAACUCCGGCAGCUUUGCGUUCUAGAAGAGCCUAGCUCGAACCAAUGCCCUCAAACGUUGGGGCAUUUAAAUCCGGUUACUACUUCCCUUGACGGAACCAAACAGCAAUCCCCACUUGGCACGCCAAUGUGUUCACGGAAGACCAAUUAGACAAUCGAUCCUUUCGGAAUUCCAACUGUACGUCUAGCCACACUAACUCAAACGACGUCUUUUUUGACUUAGUAUUGACUUGACUUUGUGAGUUGACGAAGUCAUACUCUUAAUCCG
rnacentral:lncRNA from 1 species